GUCUACAGCCAUAUCACCCUGAACACGCCCGAUCUCAUCUUAUCUCAGAAGCUAAGCAGGGUCAGGCCUGGUUAGUACUUGGAUAGAGUCUGCUUGAAGCUAUAUAAC
rnacentral:rRNA from 1 species